rnacentral:rRNA from 1 species
CCUANGGGAGGCUGCAAUUAGGAAUCUUGCGCAAUGGGGGAAACCCUGACGCAGCGACGCCGCGUGAGUGAUGAAGUCUUUCGAGAUGUAAAACUCUGUCCUACGGGGAAGAAGAAUGUGACGGUACCCGUAGAGAAAGCCCCGGCUAACUACGUGCCAGCAGCCGCGGUAAUACGUAGGGGGCGAGCGUUGUCCGAAUUUACUGGGCGUAAAGCGCGUGUAGGCGGUCCUUUAAGUGGGAUGUGAAAUCCUGUGGCUCAACCACAGAACUGCAUCCCAAACUGGAGGACUUGAGUGUGGGAGAGGAAAGUGGAAUUCCUGGUGUAGCGGUGAAAUGCGUAGAUAUCAGGAGGAACACCCGUGGCGAAGGCGGCUUUCUGGCCCACCACUGACGCUGAGACGCGAAAGCUAGGGGAGCGAACGGGAUUAGAUACCCCUNUAGUC